rnacentral:miRNA from 1 species
CAAACACCCGAAAAAAUGGA